rnacentral:rRNA from 1 species
AGUGAACGCUGGCGGCAUGCCUAACACAUGCAAGUCGAACGGCAGCGCGGGCUUCGGCCUGGCGGCGAGUGGCGGACGGGUGAGGAAUGCAUCGGAAUCUGCCCAGUCGUGGGGGAUAACGUAGGGAAACUUACGCUAAUACCGCAUACGACCGAGAGGUGAAAGCGGGGGACCUUCGGGCCUCGCGCGAUUGGAUGAGCCGAUGCCGGAUUAGCUAGUUGGCGGGGUAAAGGCCCACCAAGGCGACGAUCCGUAGCUGGUCUGAGAGGAUGAUCAGCCACACUGGGACUGAGACACGGCCCAGACACCUACGGGAGGCAGCAGUGGGGAAUAUUGGACAAUGGGCGCAAGCCUGAUCCAGCUAUGCCGCGUGGGUGAAGAAGGCCUUCGGGUUGUAAAGCCCUUUUUCGUACGGGAAGAAAAGACGCUGGGGUUAAAUACCCUGGCGGGAAUGACGGUACCGUAAGAAUAAGCACCGGCUAACUUCGUGCCAGCAGCCGCGGUAAUACGAAGGGUGCAAGCGUUACUCGGAAUUACUGGGCGUAAAGCGUGCGUAGGCGGUUUGUUAAGUCCGUUGUGAAAGCCCUGGGCUCAACCUGGGAACUGCAGUGGAUACUGGCAGGCUAGAGUGCGGUAGAGGAUGGUGGAAUUCCCGGUGUAGCGGUGAAAUGCGUAGAGAUCGGGAGGAACAUCGAUGGCGAAGGCAGCCAUCUGGACCAGCACUGACGCUGAGGCACGAAAA